GCCAAAGAGAAGGGACAAAGCUGCUAAAAAUCUUUCUGCACAUAAAGUUGGAUGUUACAUGUAUCUAGUAGGAAAGUUGAAAAUGGAGAAAAGGGAAGGAUGUUCUUAGUGGGAGCCUAGAAAGAAUCAAAAAUGUGUGACAAAUCCCAAAACCCAGAGAAGGAACAGAGAACAAAUAGCUGUGGAGAAAGGGAUCAACGUCCUGUCUUGAAUGGGACUUAUGGUCAAAUUUUGAAGAGAUUUCAAGAAGUUGUCAAUGCCCAAAGAACUGGUGGUAAUGAAAAACAGUAUAAGGUGGUUAUACUUCGACCAAAACCAAGUGGAAAUUUGGGAAGCCCCCAAGCGGUCCCAAAGCACAAAGUUAACAUUAAAACCUAUCAAACCUUGGCAGCCUUUUCAAAUAGCAGUUUACCUCAAACUUUUUCAUCAGUUACAUCUGAUGGUGAACAUGUUCCAUCAUCUGCCCCUGACAUCAAAUCUGAGAUUAAAUGUGAAGAUAGUCAGACAAUGGCAAGCUUUUCAAACAGCAAUUUACCUCAAACCCUUUCAUCACUUACAUCUGAUGGUGUACAUGUUUUGCCAUCUGUUUCAGACAUUAAAUCCGAGAUUUGUGAAGACGACCAAGAACCGUCAAAGAUCGCUUCAGGCUCGUGUUAUGAUACACAAAUUAAUUCUCAGAAUUAUCAAACAUUUCAGAUCUUCCGCACCUCUACAUCAGGAGAAGGAAUAUCACCAGUUUCCCAAGAGAUAAAAUCAGAGGUUUGCGAAACCGAUGUAUCAUCUGCAUUAUAUUCACAGUCUGCACCUGUGCCAUGCAGAGAGCUGCAGAGAGAUUUUCAAAAUUGUAUGCAAUCUGGCCCACCACCAUAUUUCUCUCACUACAUAUCUACACCCCAAGUCUCUACAAUUUCUGAGGCUGUCAAGUCUGAGCCUAGUGAAGAGAAUCUAGAAUCUGCUCAGAUCACAGAGUUUUCAACUGUUAAGCAAGAGUGUGCUUCAGAGGACUUUAUCUCAAAUGAUAAAUCUGUAGAUGUCCUGCAAGAUAUCUAUAGUGGAAAAGAAGACCCAGAAAUGCUUAAAGAAAUCAAAACUGAGGUUUAUAUUGAGAAUUUAGAGUUUUCAUCACAUUUAGAAACUUCUUCUGUAUCAUCCAAAGAAAAAGGAAGACUCUUUGCAGAAAACUAUUCCCUUGCUGCUGAUUUCAAUUCCCACAGCUCUUUCAACAUACCUGAAGAAAAUAGACCAGAAACUGGUUCAACAAGUAGAGUAAUCAAAGAUGAGGACUACUCUGUAUUUAAUCAAUCAUCACAGAUCCAAACUGCAGAAUGCAGAAGUUCAUCAAAUGAGUUGUUACCGACUGAACAUCUUGUUCCUGUAACAUUUAUACCUACUAUUGUUGAUCAAAAAGAAUCUGGUCAAAUACGUGGACAAGCUAUGGAUUCAACCAACAGGCAACCAAUAAGCAAUGCCUUAAAUGAAUUCAUGCUGACUGGAAAGUUUUUUAAAUGUGGAUUUUGUGAUGCCGCAUACAAGGAAUUGGAUGAAUUGAGGGAGCAUUUUAGGACCAAUCACAACCAAAUAUGUCUUGUUUGUGGAAAACCUGUACCCAUGUUGACAGACAUGCAGACUCACUUAGCCCACUGUCAACCAACGCAACAAGGACCUGUUUAUGCAAAUUGUCAAAUAUGUUCAAAGCUAGUAAGAAAUAAGUCACUGGGCGUACACUAUAGGGUCCAUGGACUAAGACCCCAGGACUUAAUAUUUAGAUGUAAUACAUGCGGUAAGGAUUUCACAUUUUGGGACAGAAACCUUAAUUGCAUGCACUUAGAUGGACAACCUUCCACCAGCAGAAAAAUGAUUUUAUUUUGCAUUUUAUGUAAAAAGGAGUUUGAGGAAUUGCAACCAUUUAAAGAACACUUGAAAGAAGUUCACAGAGUAUCUGGACCAGAAAUGUUCCCAUGCAAUAUAUGUUCAAAGAUUUACAGUCGCCAGUUUUAUUUACAGAAGCACCUGGAGAAUCAUGAAAAAAGAAAGCAGCGCGUGCUUGAGCGAGCAAAAAUACGUAAGAUGGAAUCGAAAAAGUUUAGCGAAUAUCAGAAGCGUCUAAAGGCUUUAAAGAAACAGAAUAAAAGCAAGCUCAGGAGGUGUACUGUGUGCAAAAAAUUGGUAAUUCAAGCAGGAAAUACAAGGGUAAACAACGUAACACAGGGAAAGAUUUAUGAGCCUAAUGAGUGUUUGUCAAUGCAAGCAAAGAAAGUUUUAGAUCACAAAGAAAAUGUUAAGCUCCAAAGCAAGGAAAAUGGGAAGAAAAAGAGUGUCAGUUUUAUGUGCACAAAAUGUGAAGAGCGCACUAAGCUUAAAUUAACUCUGUUGAAAUGUAGGAUGGCCCAGAAAGUCUACAGAUGUCAGAUUUGUUCACAGACAUUCAUUAAGUUAAUUCACUUGAAAUCACAUAUGAAUAGUCAUGUGUCUAGCACAGAAAAAAUCUGCAUUAUCUGCAGGAAGGCAUUUAGUCAAAACCGAAAUCUUAGGCUCCACAUAAAGGGUCAUGCAGACACGAAUGGCUUUUCUUGUAAGUUUUGUUGUAAAAAGUUCACUUAUUGUCAUCAGCUUGAUAUUCAUAGUCAGUUACAUUACAACCCAGAACUUCAUUGUGAUGGUUGUCACCUGGACUUUGAUAAACAUUACCGAUUUGUUCUCCACAAGAAAAAAGAUCCCAUAAUGCAUAAAAGAAAAUCCUGUUCAAAGAAAAAAACUCUGCACGCUAUGAAUCCUGGGAAUCAAUCUGAAUCUUUCAAGUGCGCUGUCUGCGGGAAGAAAUUUAGAUACAAAAAAUGGUUAGACCAUCACCAAAUGACAUUUCAGGACUUAAAGCACAAGAGAUUUUGCUUUGUGUGUGGAAUUAUGUUCAAACUACCAACAAAAAUGAGAAAACACAUGAAAACUCACACAAAGGCACCGGAAAAAUCGAGAAGGUCUUUCCUUUGCCACAUCUGUGGUAGGCUUUUCAAACAAAUUUCAAAUAUGUGGGGCCAUAUAAGAGCCCACACUGUGAAAGAAAUUAAAAACUCUGGGACACUAAGGCGCCCCCCUGACAGGAGUUCUGUGCACGAGUGUGGUCUGUGUGUCAGGGUGUUCUCUAAGAAAAGUUACUUGCUGAUACACAAGAAGGUACACGAGAGGCCGGACACUCAAAAAUGUCAAGUCUGCAACGGAGUGUUUGGUAGUCUGGGUGCCCUGAACCGCCACAAGCGUAAUGUACAUCAGAUGUACAUCAACAUAUCUAAGCAGAUUGAAUUGAAGUGAUUGAAGUCUUGCAAAGGUGUAAAAAUCAGAUAUGUGCAUACCAUUAUGUGAAAAAACGAUUCUCAAAGGAAAAUAAAAUGUAUAUGAAAAGUAAUUUUAUUUGUAGAUGUACAAAAACUUGUUCUGUGUCUUAACAUGCUUAAAGUAAUACAAUUUUUUAAACUUGAUUUUUUUAUUUUCAACUUUGCUUUUCUUAAAUCAAUUUUACAAUCUUGCAGAUUCCCGUAGAUGCUAAAUGAGUACAAACACUGUAUAUUAUUUAUCUAGGUUACCAAAUGUUAACAUAUUGUUCACUGUUCUUAUGUAAAAUUAUCUCAAGUUUAACUUCUUUUGUUGGGGGUAUAUCCUUGUAUCUUUAUAAUACAAUGUACAUGAUUGGAACCAUUGAAAGCUUUUGUUCGAACUCUUAAAAUUUAUUGAAAGGUCAAGAUAGUUACAGAAAAUUUCGGUACACAUUUCAGAAUAGAAUGAAAUUUGAGGUUCUCAUUAAGAGUUGUUGUCCUCCAUUUUCACUGAAAGUGGGGAAAUAUUAAUUAGGGUAAGUCUGUAUUUCUGUCUGUAAUACUUUCCAAGAAGCUUUUGAGCUUUUGAAAUAAAAUGCUCUUUGCUGAAGGAAGCCCCCUAUUUAUUUUGAGGUACCGAGGUCAAGGUCAUUAGAACAAUUCACAGAUAAGCUUGGACUUUUAGUAAGGCAUGGCAUUUUGAUGCUACAUAAUUAGCCUCUUAGAUUUACACAGUUUUCCCUCACUGUUGUAAUAUACGUAGGAUAAAAAUUCAGGCAAAUGUCAACUGUUGUGUCAAAUAGCCAAUUACAAGUUCUCGCACGGCUCAGAAGUGGGGCUUAAGUCGUCUCAUCUUUGUCAACAACAUUUUAAAGUUUCUGAUGUGAUAUAUUUUUUAACCAGUAAAAAUCUGAUCACUAUUUGACAGACGCUAAUUUAACAUUGCGCCAAGAAUGACUAUUUUUCAACUUACUGAAAGUCCAAGCUUACUUGAGAAUUGUACUAAUUCAUACAUUCUGUGUGUUUAUGUGUAAAACAUUCAUUUCAGGGUGAUACAUGUAUCUCAGGCAGCUUGUUAGUUUUUGCAAUAUUUAAUUUUAACCAUAACCCCCUAUUGCCCUGCUCCACCUCCUUAAAGUGUACACCCUCGCCCCCCCCCCCCCCCCCCCUUUUUCAGCUCCUGACUUGUUCUUUUUUCCUGUGGCGGGGGACACGGAUUCUCUGAAUAAGCUUGUUACUACAGUGUACAUGUAGAGCAAAGGAGAGUACAGGGCAUCAUGUUUAUCAUAGGUUAUGGAUUAAUAUUUUGACUUCAACCUAUUACUAGAUCAAAGGUUAAAGUAUCAUAGCUUUUACUUUUAGUUGAUAGAAAUGGAUUGUUUUAAGUACAAUGUCUGAAAUCACAGAUUGCUGUAAAUUAAUAUAAUAAAUUAA